GUGAAAUUGUUGAAAGGGAAACGCUUGAAGUCAGUCACGUCUGCCAGGACUCAGCCUCGCUUCUGCUUGGUGUACUUUCUGGUUUGAUGGGCCAACAUCAAUUUUGACCGUCGGAGAAAGGCUUUGGGAAUGUGGCACCUUUUGGUGUGUUAUAGCCCUUUGUUGUAUACGACGGUUGGGAUUGAGGACUGCAGCACGCCUUCAUGGCCGGGGUUCGCCCACGUACGUGCUUAGGAUGUUGGCAUAAUGGCUUUAAGCGACCCGUCUUGAAACACGGACCAAGGAGUCUAACAUGCCUGCAAGUGUUUGGGUGGAAAACCCAUGCGCGUAAUGAAAGUGACAGCUGAGAUCCUCUCAUCAGGAGCAUCAGCGCCUGGACUUGAUCUACGGAGACGGUUCUACGGUAGAGCAUGUAUGUUGGGACCCGAAAGAUGGUGAACUAUGCCUGAAUAGGGUGAAGCCAGAGGAAACUCUGGCGGAGGCUCGUAGCGAUUCUGACGUGCAAAUCGAUCGUCAAAUUUGGGUAUAGGGGCGAAAGACUAAUCGAACCAUCUAGUAGCUGGUUCCUGCCGAAGUUUCCCUCAGGAUAGCAGAAACUCGUAUCAGAUUUAUGUGGUAAAGCGAAUGAUUAGAGGCCUUGGGGUUGAAACAACCUUAACCUAUUCUCAAACUUUAAAUAUGUAAGAACAAGCCGUCACUUGAUUGGACCGCUUGGCGAUUGAGAGUUUCUAGUGGGCCAUUUUUGGUAAGCAGAACUGGCGAUGCGGGAUGAACCGAACGUGAGGUUAAGGUGCCGGAAUACACGCUCAUCAGACACCACAAAAG
rnacentral:rRNA from 1 species